CAAAAGAAAUAAAAUUAAGCCCAUUCUAAAAAAUCAGAGGCCCAACAAUAUAAAUAAAAACCGGCCCAACAACUUAACUCAUUCACUCAUUCCUUCUACAUUUUCGGCCCAAUAGCCAAAGCCCAACAAUCCAGGCCCAAAACCCAAACCCUAUUACCUUUCUCCUCUCUCUCUUAAUCACACGCGCACACACACAUUCAGAGACACACACAAAACAAACACACGCACACAGCAAGGCACCCCCCCUCGCCCUCUUCUCUCCUCCGGCGGUAGGCGUCGCCGGCCACGCCGCCGCCCCGACAACCCUCUCUCCUUUACCUCAAUCACGGCCGCCCACCUCCUUCACUCCACCGAACCCAGCGGAAACAUUAUACAGUCACCGCGCCCUUCUCCGUGAAGAGCCGACGAUCGGCCCCUCUCCCUCGCUCCAUCUUCUUCUCCAUCGUUUCCCUACAACAUAAGUCAGCGGCCGCAGCAGCAAAACCGACCACCGCCUCUCCCUCAAACAGACGCCCACCUCUCUUCUCUCUUCCUCUCUCAAGAUCUAUUCGUCUCUCUCUCUCUCUCGAAGUCACCGCCGUCGGAGCUCGCCGGAGUUGAGAUCGCCGCCUGGAGCUGCUGCUGUUCGCCGGGAGUUGAGGUCGCCGCCUGCUCGUUUAGCCGUCUCUCAUGGAGCCGCCGUCGCCAUGGACAGCAGAUCGGAAGCCACCCGCCGCCGCGUCGCCGGAAAAAGAUAAGUUCUCUUCCCUCUGUUCUUUUCUUCCCUUUCAUUUCCUUCCCUUUUUAGAUUAAAAACCGAAAUUUUCCUCUCAUUUCCCUCCUUGGCAGAUCGACAACCACCACGGCUUCGCCGCCGUCCGUCGACCGUCGGCAGCCACCGAGCUGUCUCACUCCCUCCCCUGACUCGGACACACAAGAACAGGAGACUCAUCCCCCCCAAAUUCCAGUUUACACAUAGAAGCAAUUAGAGUUUCAAUUCUGUUCAUUUUUCGUUUUUCUUCUACAACAAUUGAUUGUACAUGUAAAAGCUAGAAAACAUAUAGUAAAUACAUGUGUGUGCAUAUGUAUGUAUUGCUGUA